GUUCUUACCUGGCAACACCAUUCUGGAACUCCUCGGUGGCCUGAUAAUAGAGGGUGAUGGCUACCCGGGCGUCCGUGUCAAAGAUGAAGAACCUGAAGCUCAGAGACUCUUUUGAGGACCCAGAGAGCCUUAGUCGACAUACUGUCUUGGAGAGAAC